rnacentral:rRNA from 1 species
AUGAACGCUGGCGGCGUGCCUAAUACAUGCAAGUCGAGCGAACGGACGAGAAGCUUGCUUCUCUGAUGUUAGCGGCGGACGGGUGAGUAACACGUGGAUAACCUACCUAUAAGACUGGGAUAACUUCGGGAAACCGGAGCUAAUACCGGAUAAUAUUUUGAACCGCAUGGUUCAAAAGUGAAAGACGGUCUUGCUGUCACUUAUAGAUGGAUCCGCGCUGCAUUAGCUAGUUGGUAAGGUAACGGCUUACCAAGGCAACGAUGCAUAGCCGACCUGAGAGGGUGAUCGGCCACACUGGAACUGAGACACGGUCCAGACUCCUACGGGAGGCAGCAGUAGGGAAUCUUCCGCGAUGGGGGAAAGCCUGACGGAGCAACGCCGCGUAAGUGAUGAAGGUCUUCGGAUCGUAAAACUCUGUUAUUAGGGAAGAACAUAUGUGUAAGUAACUGUGCACAUCUUGACGGUACCUAAUCAGAAAGCCACGGCUAACUACGUG